CGAAUGGGCGCAAGCCUGACCGAGCGACGCCGCGUGUGGGAUGAAGGCCUUCGGGUUGUAAACCACUGUCGAGGGGGAGGAAGCCGCAAGGUUGACCUAUCCCUGGAGGAAGCACGGGCUAAGUUCGUGCCAGCAGCCGCGGUAAGACGAACCGUGCAAACGUUACUCGGAUUCACUGGGCUUAAAGGGCGCGUAGGCGGCUCGCCAAGUCUGGGGUGAAAUCUUUCGGCUCAACCGGAAAAUUGCCUGGGAUACUGGCGGGCUCGAGGGAGGUAGGGGGUCACGGGAACGACCAGUGGAGCGGUGAAAUGCGUUGAUAUUGGUCGGAACGCCGGUGGCGAAAGCGCGUGACUGGAUCUCUUCUGACGCUGAGGCGCGAAAGCCAGGGGAGCAAACGGGAUUAGAUACCCCGGUAGUCCUGGCCUUAAACGAUGGGCACUAGGUUGCGGACGUGACAUGCGUUCGCAGCCGAAGCAAAAGUGAUAAGUGCCCCGCCUGGGGAGUAUGGUCGCAAGGCUG
rnacentral:rRNA from 1 species